rnacentral:rRNA from 1 species
UACGGAGGGUGCAAGCGUUAUCCGGAUUCACUGGGUUUAAAGGGUGCGUAGGUGGGCUGGUAAGUCAGUGGUGAAAUCUCCAGGCUUAACUUGGAAACUGCCAUUGAUACUAUCAGUCUUGAAUACCGUGGAGGUCAGCGGAAUAUGUCAUGUAGCGGUGAAAUGCUUAGAUAUGACAUAGAACACCAAUUGCGAAGGCAGCUGGCUACACGAAUAUUGACACUGAUGCACGAAAGCGCGGGGAUCAAACAGG